GGCCAUGUCCUUUCCUUCAGCCCUUUGUUCUCUCUGGCAGGAACAUGGGUGGAAAACAGCCAGAAUGGACAUGGGCAGCAAAGGUGCGACAUGCAGCU
ensembl:miRNA gga-mir-1794 gga-mir-1794